rfam:Hordeum vulgare subsp. vulgare, WGS project CAJW01000000 data, contig: morex_contig_280956
AAUAUACUCCCUCCAUGCGGAAAUAUUUGUCAUAUGAAUGAAUGUAUCUAAAUGUAUUUUAGUUCUAGAUACAUUUAUUUUUAUCUUUUUUUAUGACAAGUAAUUCCGGACGAAGGGAGUAGUAG